AGACAAGGCAAUCGUCUGGUUGCAAUAAAGGUCUGUGUGCAUUCAAAUUUUUCUGGGUAUCAGGAACCAAUAGGAAGAGUGAUCUCAUUUCAACCAAUGGAAAGCAAGUCCUCAGAAGCUUGGAGAUCCCCUUCAGAGGAGUGUGUUCAGUCAAAUUGUUCUUAGAAUAUGAACCAAUAAGGAGUGUGACCUCAAUUCCUACAGUGAAAAACAAAUCCUGAAGUUAUAAUGGAGAUCUUCAUCAGAGAUGUAGAUUCAUAUCUCUCUCCCUCCUCUGUGCAAUGGGAAAGAAGCAGGGUAAUGUUAAUGGUAACAUAGAAUAAAG
rnacentral:lncRNA from 1 species